AGUAGGGAAUCUUGCGCAAUGGGCGAAAGCCUGACGCAGCCAUGCCGCGUGAAUGAUGAAGGUCUUAGGAUUGUAAAAUUCUUUCACCGGGGACGAUAAUGACGGUACCCGGAGAAGAAGCCCCGGCUAACUUCGUGCCAGCAGCCGCGGUAAUACGAAGGGGGCUAGCGUUGCUCGGAAUUACUGGGCGUAAAGGGAGCGUAGGCGGAUAGUUUAGUCAGAGGUGAAAGCCCAGGGCUCAAACUUGGAAUUGCCUUUGAUACUGGCUAUCUUUAGUAUGGAAGAGGUAUGUGGAACUCCGAGUGUAGAGGUGAAAUUCGUAGAUAUUCGGAAGAACACCAGUGGCGAAGGCGACAUACUGGUCCAUUACUGACGCUGAGGCUCGAAAGCGUGGGGAGCAAACAGGAUUAGAAACCCCAGUAGUCC
rnacentral:rRNA from 1 species